rnacentral:rRNA from 1 species
UACAGAGGGGGCAAGCGUUAUUCGGAAUUAUUGGGCGUAAAGGGCGCGUAGGCGGCUUUUCAAGUGACGGGUGAAAUCCCUCGGCUUAACCGAGGAACUGCCUGUCAGACUGGAAGGCUUGAGACCGGGAGAGGUGAGUGGAAUUCCCAGUGUAGCGGUGAAAUGCGUAGAGCUCGGGAAGAACAUCGGUGGCGAAAGCGCUCUGCUGGACUGCAACUGACACUCAGGGACGAAAGCUAGGGGAGCGAAUGGG